UACGGGGGGGGCAAGCGUUGUUCGGAAUUACUGGGCGUAAAGGGCUCGUAGGCGGCCAACUAAGUCGGACGUGAAAUCCCUCGGCUUAACCGGGGAACUGCGUCCGAUACUGGAUGGCUUGAGUGUGGGAGAGGGAUGCGGAAUUCCAGGUGUAGCGGUGAAAUGCGUAGAUAUCUGGAGGAACACCGGUGGCGAAGGCGGCAUCCUGGACCAAGACUGGCGCUGAGUGAGCGAAAGCCAGGGGAGCAAACGGG
rnacentral:rRNA from 1 species